CAUAGUUUUUCAGGAGAAACAAAACGGACAGAUGGAGAGAGAGAGAGCCAAGAAGAAGAUGGGUUGCGAACAAGCUCUCUGCUUCCCGGCAACGAUGGCAAAUCCAUGUCUUCGAGUGAUCCCUCGGUCAUGCCUCUCGUCGUUUUUAGCACGCUCGUUGCCGUUUGAGGGUCUUUUGUCUCUGGGUGCACUUUUGGUUAUUCAUCGCCUGCCGAGGCGGGCAUAAUGGAGGAUCUGGGGCUCUCUACAACGACGGUUAGUCCUAUCAUGCAUACAUUGUUACAUGUCCUCAAUGCAUUGCUAGAAAGUAUAAUAAAUUGCUGUCAGUUUCAAUCAAUUCUUUAUUUAGU